rnacentral:rRNA from 1 species
UCCUACGGGAGGCAGCAGUAGGGAAUUUUCGUCAAUGGGCGCAAGCCUGAACGAGCAAUGCCGCGUGAACGAGGAAGGUCUUCGGAUCGUAAAGUUCUGUUGAAGGGGAAAAAGAGCGGAGAGAGGAAAUGGUCUCCGAUUGAUAUUACCCUUCGAGGAAGUCACGGCUAACUACGUGCCAGCAGCCGCGGUAAUACGUAGGUGGCGAGCGUUAUCCGGAAUGAUUGGGCGUAAAGGGCGUGCAGCCGGGAGUGCAAGUCAGAUGUGAAAUCCCGCGGCUCAACCGCGGAAUUGCAUUUGAACCU